rnacentral:rRNA from 1 species
UACGGAGGAUCCAAGCGUUAUCCGGAUUUAUUGGGUUUAAAGGGUGCGUAGGCGGCCUGUUAAGUCAGGGGUGAAAGACGGUAGCUCAACUAUCGCAGUGCCCUUGAUACUGAUGGGCUUGAAUACACUAGAGGUAGGCGGAAUGUGACAAGUAGCGGUGAAAUGCAUAGAUAUGUCACAGAACACCGAUUGCGAAGGCAGCUUACUAUGGUGUUAUUGACGCUGAGGCACGAAAGCGUGGGGAUCAAACAGG